UCCACAUGGGCAUGCUACCAUCAGCAGCAAGAGAGACAAGUCAAACCCAGUGGGCUAAAGCUGGUCUGCAGGGCUCAAGCCUUCAUAGAAACUGCUGAGAGGUCAGCAAAGCAACAGGAGGCUGAAAACAACUCCUCUAAGUGAAACAUAAAACAAUAGCUUUCACUACAGAAAUGCAGACAAGCCCAUGUUUGGGUAGAGAAAUGAAACCGCCAGCACACGCAGCAGGCACAGCUGCCAGCCCGGGUUCCCAAAACCCAACUCCCAAAACAGGAACUUUCGUGUGCAGUUCUGAAAACCUGGACAUCCCUGUAAAUGCCUCUCCGUUCUGCAGGACUUUAUGCCAUUGCUUUUUUGCUCUGGCAUCUCAUCACAGCUCCUCUGUGUCCUUCUGGGACUUUUCUGGUCUCUCAGACAAGAAUAACAACAACAAACCCAACGAGCCAAGCAAAGAGAGAGCCUGAACUUGCUCCUGGAGAAGACAGAGUGGCUAUUCCUGCACUUUGCCUGCCAGCUGCCUCUUGUCUCAGAAAUGAACUCUCCUUCCUUUUGCUCCCCAGAGACACACCACGUUUGCUCAUGACGUGCAGCUAACCACAUCCACCUGCCAGGCUGACUCCACUUCCUUAACAAGGAUGCAGCAUCUGAGCUGAAGGUGGGAUGGGAGGGAAGUCCAGCAGUGUUUAGCAAAAACUUACUGUAGGUUUUUCUCCCUGCCAGAAAAGCUGUAGGUUCAUUCUGAUCAGGAAGUAAUUCAGGGCUUUCUUAUAUGAAAAAGAUAGAUCAUUUUAUUAUGUUUCUAUCCAAUAUUUCAUUUCAGGGAGAAAGCUGAUUGCCCCUAAAAUUGUUGUGGUUUCCUGCCAUGAAACAUUGAAUUAUUUCUUCCUUCAUACUUUAGAAAAUUAAAACACAUAUUUAAACACUAA